GACGAACGCUGGCGGCGUGCUUAACACAUGCAAGUCGAACGGAAAGGCCCUGCUUUUGUGGGGUGCUCGAGUGGCGAACGGGUGAGUAACACGUGAGUAACCUGCCCUUGACUUUGGGAUAACUUCAGGAAACUGGGGCUAAUACCGGAUAGGAGCUCCUGCUGCAUGGUGGGGGUUGGAAAGUUUCGGCGGUUGGGGAUGGACUCGCGGCUUAUCAGCUUGUUGGUGGGGUAGUGGCUUACCAAGGCUUUGACGGGUAGCCGGCCGGAGAGGGUGACCGGCAACACGUGAAAUGAGAAACGGUGCAGAGGCCUAAGGGAGGCAGAAGUGGGGAAUAUUGGACAAUGGGGGAAAGGCUGAUCAAGCCGUCCGGCGUGGGUGAAGAAGGCGUUCGGGUGGUAAAGGCGGGUGGUGGGGAAAGAAAAGCAGCAGGGGAAUAACCCGCGGGUCUGACGGGAACCAAAGAAUAAGCACCGGCUAACUGCGUG
rnacentral:rRNA from 1 species